rnacentral:rRNA from 1 species
GAUGAACGCUGGCGGCGUGCCUAAUACAUGCAAGUCGAGCGAACGGACGAGAAGCUUGCUUCUCUGAUGUUAGCGGCGGACGGGUGAGUAACACGUGGAUAACCUACCUAUAAGACUGGGAUAACUUCGGGAAACCGGAGCUAAUACCUGAUAAUAUUUUGAACCGCAUGGUUCAAAAGUGAAAGACGGUAUUGCUGUCACUUAUAGAUGGAUCCGCGCUGCAUUAGCUAGUUGGUAAGGUAACGGCUUACCAAGGCAACGAUGCAUAGCCGACCUGAGAGGGUGAUCGGCCACACUGGAACUGAGACACGGUCCAGACUCCUACGGGAGGCAGCAGUAGGGAAUCUUCCGCAAUGGGCGAAAGCCUGACGGAGCAACGCCGCGUGAGUGAUGAAGGUCUUCGGAUCGUAAAACUCUGUUAUUAGGGAAGAACACAUGUGUAAGUAACUGUGCACAUCUUGACGGUACCUAAUCAGAAAGCCACGGCUAACUACGUG